rnacentral:misc_RNA from 1 species
CAACCCUCAAGCGCAGCUUGGUGUUGGGGACCUAUGGUUACCAUAGGCCCUGGAAAUCAGUGGCGGGCUCGCUAAUACCCCGAGCGUAGUAGAAUCUCUCGCUUAGGGCGUAUAGCGGGUUCCAGCCGUUAAAACCCCACUGUUUACAAAAGG